UACGAAGGCCCCAAGCGUUGUCCGGAUUUAUUGGGCGUAAAGAGCUCACAGGCGGUUUGGAAAGUCAAGGGACAAAACAUAGGGCUCAACCCUAUGAUCUUCCUUGAAACUUCUAAACUUGAGGACAGGAGAGGCAAGCGGAACGGCUGGUGUAGGGGUUAAAUCCGUUAAUAUCAGCUGGAACACCAAUGGCGAAGGCAGCUUGCUGGAAUGUUCCUGACGCUAUAGGAGCGAAAGCGUGGGUCGCGAAUGGG
rnacentral:misc_RNA from 1 species